AUUGAACGCUGGCGGCAGGCCUAACACCUGCAAGUCGAGCGAGCGGCGGACGGGUGAGUAAUGUAUGGGGACUGCCCGCUAGAGGGGGGUAACUACUGGAAACGGUAGCUAAUACCGCAUACUAUCGGAUAACCCAUAUGGGAUUGGCUAGUAGGUGAGGUAAUGGCUCACCUAGGCGACGAUACCUAGCUGGUCUGAGAGGAUGAUCAGCCACACUGGUGAUGAUACACGGCCCAGACUCCUACGGAGGCAGCAGUGGGGAAUAUUGCACAAGGGGCGAAAGCCUGAGGCAGCCAGGCGGCGUGUAUGAAGAAGGCCCUAGGGUUGUAAAGUACUUGCAGUCGGGAGGCGUUACCGACAGAAGAAGCACCGGCUAACUCCGUGCCAGCAGCCGCGGUAAUUC
rnacentral:rRNA from 1 species